UUGUAGAGCAUCAAGUGCAUAUGGUGGAUGCCUUGGCAGAAUGUGCCGAUGAAGGACGUCGCAGCCUGCGAUAAGCCUCGGGGAGGUGGCAAGCAACCUUUGAUCCGGGGAUUUCCGAAUGGAGCAAUCCCAUGCGGGGAAUGCCGCAUGAUCCCGUACUGAAUACAUAGGUCCGGGAAGGGCACCUGGGGAAGUGAAACAUCUCAGUACCCAGAGGAAAAGAAAAAGAUCGUUCGUUUUACGUUCGUGUGCACAACAUGUAGCACGCGAACGAAAAGCGAGCACAUUCCCUAAGUAGCGGCGAGCGAAAAGGGAAGAGCCUAAACCUUACAGAUGAAGCUAUGGUGUUUAUGUGGACUUCGGUUUGCAUAGCGCGGUAGUGAAAGAUGGAAGUCGUUGUCUGUAAGGGGUUGUAAGUUGAUCAUGUCGUCUGCUUCCAAAGACGGGUGAUGAUAAUUGUAUGACCUAUAACAGAAGUUGCUGGAAAGCAACGCCAUAGAGGGUGAUAGCCCCGUACGUGAAAUAGGUUUAUACCAUCACGAUGAUUUUCUUGAGUACCACGAGACUCGUGAAAUCUUGUGGGAAUCUGCCGCGACUAUGUGGCAAGGCUAAACACACAUUCUGACCGAUAGUGAACAAGUACCGUGAGGGAAAGGUGAAAAGCACCCCGGUGAGGGGAAUGAAAUAGUAUCUGAAACCGUAUGCUUACAAGGAGUCAGAGCCCUGCCUUCGGGUGGGGUGAUGGCGUUCCUAUUGAAGAAUGAGCCAACGAGUGUGCUACGUGUCGCUUGGUUAAGUCCUAUGGGACGGAGCCGAAGUGAAAGCGAGCGUUAAUCCGCGUAUUGUGAUUUUGUUCGAUCUGUUUGAGCAAUCGAACUUUUCGAACAUGAUCACAUGGUGGCACGUACACGACCCGAAACCGGGUGACCUAGCCAUGACCAGGUUGAAGCGGGUGUAAAAACCCGUGGAGGACCGAACCCACGCGCUGUGCAACACGCGGGGAUGAGUUGUGGCUAGCGGAGAAAUUCCAAUCGAACUCGGUAAUAGCUGGUUCUCCCCGAGAUAUGUUUUGGCAUAGCGUCAGUAAAUACAUGAGUGGGGGUAGAGCACUGGAUGGGACCGCCGCCUUCGGGUAGGGGUCCUAACCAAACUCCGAAUACCAUUCGUGGUUCCUGACAGUCAGACGAUGGGGGCUAAGCUCCAUUCGUCGAAAGGGAAACAGCCCAGAUCUCCAACUAAGGUCCCUAAAUCAUCAUUAAGUGUAAAAGGUAGUGAAGAGGCUUAUACAACCAGGAGGUUGGCUUAGAAGCAGCCAUCCUUUAAAGAUAGCGUAACAGCUCACUGGUCAAGCUUUUUUGCGCCGAAAAUGUACCGGGGCUCAUCUCGGAAGUCUGUGGUAGGGGAGCAUUCACAUGGCGUUGAAGUCGUGUCGUGAGGCACGGUGGAGCAGUGUGAAGUGAGAAUGUUGGCAUAAGUAGCAAAAAGACAGGUGAAAGUCCUGUCCGCCGUAAACCUAAGGUUUCCUGGGCAACGCGAAUCGACCCAGGGUUAGUCGGGAGCUAAGGCGAGGCCGAAAGGCGUAGUCGAUGCACAGCAGGUUAAUAUUCCUGCACUUCGUUAUUCACUGAUGCGGGGACGCUUCUUGUCGUUUCCUGCGUUCUAUGGCUAUGACGCUGGGGGUGUUUCGGUGAUGGGUAGGCAAAUCCGCUCAUCAUAAGCCGAUGACAUCAUCGCGAGUCUGCCGUAAGGCGGACAAGAGGAAAUUAAAAGGAGCCAAGAAAAGCCGCUAAGGUUAAUGAAUAAUGAACCCGUACCGUAAACCGACUCAGGUGGGUGGGCAUAAAUGUGCUCAGGCGUACGAGAGAACCUUCGUUAAGUAACUCGGCAAAACAGUGGCCGUAACUUCGGGAUAAGGCCUGGUUGUCCUUGUGAGAGGGCGACCCACAGCAAACGACUCCAACCGACUGUUUACCAAAAACACAGGUCCCUGCUAAACCGUAAGGUGAUGUAUAGGGGCUGAUGCCUGGCCAGUGUCCGAACGUUAAGGAAGGGGGUCAUCCUGCCGCAAGGCAGGGGAAGCUUCCGACUGAAGCGCGGAUGAACGCCGGCGAUAACUAUAAUCGUCCUAAGGUAGCGAAAUUCCUUGUCGGGCGAGUUCCGACCUGCACGAAUGGCAUAACGAGUUGGAGACUGUCUCAACGAAGGACUCGGCGAAAUUGCAAGAUGAGUGAAGAUGCUCAUUACCCGUGGUUAGACGAAAAGACCCCGUGAAGCUUUACUACAACUUGCUCUUGAGUUCAUACUUCACAUGUUCAGUAUAGGUGGGAGCCUUCGGGCGCCAGUGAGAUACCACCCUUGUGCUGCGUGAAUCCUAACCAGACGCCGUGAAUCCGGUGUCAGGGACAGGAGCUGGUGGGUAGUUUGCCUGGGGCGGGUGCCUCCCAAAAGAUAACGGAGGCGUCUACAAAGGUUGGCUUAGCGCGGAUGGAAAUCGCGCUGGACGUGUAUACGCACAAGCCAGCUUUACUGCAAGACCUACAAGUCGCGCAGUUGCGAAAGCAGAGGUAAGUGAUCCGACCGUACGAUAUAGGACGGCGGAAGCUCAUCGGACAAAAGCUACUCCGGGGAUAACAGGCUAGUCUCCCCCAAGCGUCCACAGCGACGGGGAGGUUCGGCACCUCGAUGUCGGCUCAUCGCAUCCUGGGGCUGGAGAAGGUCCCAAGGGUUAGGCUGUUCGCCUAUUAAAGCGGUACG
rfam:Parcubacteria (Thrbacteria) bacterium GW2011_GWF2_46_218 TX45_C0007, whole genome shotgun sequence.